UAAAAAACUCAAAGGAUAAGCAAAAAUUUUUGCAAAACAAAUUCUAAGUAAACAACAUAGUUCGCCCACUGUUCAAACAUUAAAAGCUACCCAUUUCUUCGAUAUGGAUAAACUUUGCUUAAGGUGUGCAACGUUCAGUAAAUCGUGGGAAUAAGCAGCACUCACGAACAGUGUAACGGUCGCACAACCAAGCGAGGAAUCUUUCAAGUCCUAAGCCACAGCCACCAUGUUCAGUAGUACCAUAUUUACGUUGUUCCGUAAACCAGUAGUAGGGAGCUGGAUCAAUACCUUCGCGUUUAUAAGCAGCAAGGAGCUCUUGAAUGUCGGAAAUUCUCAUACUGCCACCAACAAUUUCUCCCACAUUAGGCAUUAAGCAAUCAACACUCUCGGUAAGUUCAGGACGAUCAACGACACGCUUCAUAUAAAAUGAUUUGAUCUCCAAUGGGAAGUAUGUCAAAAAGAUGGGGCGGUUGAUUUGAUCGGUCAUCUUGCGCUCAGCAGCUUCAGCAAUGUCAUCGCCAAACUUGUGUUGCUCACCUUCUGGAGUCAAAAUAUUGUGCUCAUUAAGAUACUUAAUCGCAUCCUCGUAAGAAAGACGCAUAAAAGGUCUUGAAGGCUUGACAAAAUCAGGAUUCAACUGCUUAAUUAAAGGAGUAGCAAUUGGAUCAUCAAGGAGUCGGUCGAUAGUUUGGCAAAUGAAUUCUUCAAUGAUUUCCAAAAACUCGCCAAAGUUCACGAAUGGCAAUUCAAACUCCACGUGGGUAAACUCAGACAAAUGGCGUCUGGUUAAAGAUUUUUCUGCACGGAAACUCUCCUGAAUAGUAUAAACACUUCCCAAAGCGGGAAGUGCAGCCUCUAAAUACAAUUGACUAGAUUGAGUCAGAUAGGCAUCUUGUCCAUAAUAAUUAAAUUUAAAAAGAGUUGCACCUCCUUCAACUUGAGUUUGCACCAUACAUGGUGGUGUAACCUCGGUCAUUUUAAGAUUUUCAAAUGUAUCUCUCAUGGCACGAAGAGCACGAGCACGAACUUUGAGUACCGAAGAAGCAGUUUCACCGCGAAUAACAAGGUGACGCUGAUCUAACAAGUAGGAAGGCUCCGCUUCUGCAUUGAGACGGUUUGUAAAAGCCUCUUCUCCGGUAGGAGCAGCAUGCAAGAUUUGAUAAUAAUCAACAACAAGCUCGUGGUUUCCAGGAGCUGAUUUUCCUUCGGGCAAUUCCUUAAUUACACCAUAUAAACAUACGGUAGACUCGGGACCCAAAUUAAUAAAGUCAUAACUAGCUCUAUCGUAGACUUUUCCCGAUAAAACACACUGCAAAAAUCCAGUACCAUCACGUAAAAUUAUAAAAAUAAUCCCUUUUUGUGUACGCAUACGAUGGACCCAACCGUUUACACGGACACGAGAAUCACGAAAAUUGGUACUAUCGAUAAUGGCAAUCUUCUUAGCAGCAGGAGCGUCUUUUGGUUCUUUAAGGACAAUAUUUUUAGCUGCUUCUAAUCGUUUGGCUUCAGCUUCUUUGGCAGCAGCAGCUCGAGCAGCAGCCGCGGCUUCAGCUUCAGCUGCCUUAGCCUUUUUCUUAGCGGCUUGUUCAACUCCCUUUUUCGCCUUCUUUAAAGCGUUGGUGGUUAUAGGCUCAAACUCUUCACUGCCAUUUUUUUUGACAAAGAUCGUACAGUUGGCAUCAGUUUCCAAAGCAUGGAUUGCAGUUUUAAAUGGUGAUGUUUGACUUCCGUUGCCAGUUUCAUCAUUACCGGAAGCUUCGUCUAUAUAAAAAACAACGUCUGAUUUUAUUUUCAUAUCAGAAACUUUUGAUUCCAAUCCCGCCAUUUUUAAAAGGACAGUUUGAAGUUAGUGAAAAUGUUAAAUAUCAAAUAACCGGCCUUGGAUAACUUAUAGUCUCGUUAGAGUGUCUUAUCUGCAAAUCUACAACCCAGAACAUUUGCUAAAGCGCGUUAAUUUUUUUUUUGGCUAAUGAUUCCAAAAUUUCGGCUAGUUGCUAAUAUUUGAAAUAUUAAGUACUUUUAUUUAAUUGUAAAUUUACAUUUCAUUGUAUCACAUUAGUAUGGUUAUUGCUAAUUCCCCAGUCGAUUUGACAUAGAGCAAUUAAUUGUCAACCCAGUGUGUAUUCAAUAGACUCCUCAAAUAAGUUAACUACGAAAACUUCUUGUCAAUAAGAUAUUGCUUCAUUCCAUAUUGACUUAUGGCUUCUCACGUUCUUAAAUUAGUAAAUCCAAUGGGUAGAAAAAAAGUAAAUUAGCUAAGGUUGUAAUAUUGUCAAAAGAAAAAUUUACUUUGUGAAAUAUCUUUUUAAAUUACAAGUGGAUAUUUUACAUGUAGGGCAAGGUUAAAGAACACACUUCUCCAUAAGUUAAUUGCUAGCAUAGUCUGUAGGAAUAACCAAAAUCGUCUUUUUCUGUUUUUGUUCUCGCUAUACAGCCAAGCAUGUGC
rnacentral:lncRNA from 1 species